rnacentral:rRNA from 1 species
UACGGGGGGAGCAAGCGUUGUUCGGAUUUACUGGGCGUAAAGGGCGCGUAGGCGGUCAGCACAAGUCAGUUGUGAAAUCUCCGGGCUUAACUCGGAAAGGUCAACUGAUACUGUGCGACUAGAGUGCGGAAGGGGCAACUGGAAUUCUCGGUGUAGCGGUGAAAUGCGUAGAUAUCAAGAGGAACACCUGCGGCGAAGGCGGGUUGCUGGGCCGACACUGACGCUGAGGCGCGAAAGCCAGGGGAGCGAACGGG